rnacentral:tRNA from 1 species
UCCGGGGUAGCUCAACCGGCAGAGCAGCGGCCUGUUAAGCCGAUGGUUGAGGGUUCGAGUCCCUCCCCCGGAG